UACGUAGGGGGGCAAGCGUUGUCCGGAAUCAUUGGGCGUAAAGAGCGCGUAGGCGGCCCAGUCAGUCCGCUGUGAAAGUCAGAGGCUCAACCUCUGGAUGCCGGUGGAUACUGCUGGGCUAGAGUCCGGAAGAGGCGAGUGGAAUUCCUGGUGUAGCGGUGAAAUGCGCAGAUAUCAGGAGGAACACCGAUGGCGAAGGCAGCUCGCUGGGACGGUACUGACGCUGAAACACGGAAAGCGUGGGUAGCAAACAGG
rnacentral:rRNA from 1 species